GACGAACGCUGGCGGCGUGCCUAAUACAUGCAAGUCGAGCGGACGAACUUUUGGUGCUUGCACCGAAUUUUCGUUAGCGGCGGACGGGUGAGUAACACGUGGGCAACCUGCCCUGUAGAUUGGGAUAACUCCGGGAAACCGGGGCUAAUACCGAAUAAUACUUUUUAACUCAUGUUAGAAAGUUGAAAGAUGAUUUACGCUAUCACUACAGAAUGGGCCCGCGGCGCAUUAGCUAGUUGGUGAGGUAACGGCUCACCAAGGCGACGAUGCGUAGCCGACCUGAGGGGGGGAUCGGCCACACUGGGACUGAGACACGGCCCAGACGCCUACGGGAGGCAGCAGUAGGGAAUCUUCCACAAUGGGCGAAAGCCUGAUGGAGCAACGCCGCGUGAGUGAAGAAGGAUUUCGGUUCGUAAAACUCUGUUGUAAGGGAAGAAUAAGUACAGUAGUAACUGGCUGUACCUUGACGGUACCUUAUUAGAAAGCCACGGCUAACUACGUGCCAGCCGCCGCUGUAAUAC
rnacentral:rRNA from 1 species